CCCCAAGUUGUACUCCUUCUUAAUGCUCUUAAUAUUUAAGCCCAUACUUUGUUUGCAUAGAAUCACAGACUGUAGAAUCAUUAGAGCUGUAAAAGACCUCUAAGGUCACUGAGUCCAGCUGUUAAGCCAGCAGCACUGUGUUCCACACUAAACCCCAUCUCCAGUCCCUCCAUCUGUACAUGCAAAGUAUCACUGAGCUGGAAACACUGCAAGGAGGACUUUCGGGGUGGAAGCAAUGCUCCUGGGUCCCCACUGUACACUGGGAGGUGCCCUGGGUUUCAACCAAGAGACAGUGCCAAUGGUUACAAUGUGGAAAGAGAGGUCCUACACUUUGCCCUGAAAGUGUUGAGAACCAGGACAAUAUGCACGAAUGAGCAGCACUGGGUGAGAUCACAGGUCCACCUGCACCAGCAGGAGGCAGAAGGAGAUGCAUGGGGAAAUAUACAGGGACAGAGCAAGCACACAUGUCCAGCUUCCAGCACUGUCUGCAUCAGAUAUUUGGUCAAUGGCUCCUCCUUGCUGAGUUAGUGGAGUU